rnacentral:rRNA from 1 species
UACAGAGGUCUCAAGCGUUGUUCGGAUUCAUUGGGCGUAAAGGGCGCGUAGGCGGUGGGGUAAGUCUGGUGUGAAAUCUCGGAGCUCAACUUCGAAAUUGCACUGGAUACUGCUCUGCUAGAGGGCUGGAGAGGAGAUCGGAAUUCACGGUGUAGUAGUGAAAUGCGUAGAUAUCGUAAGGAAGACCAGUGGCGAAGGCGGGUCUCUGGACAGUUCCUGACGCUGAGGCACGAAGGCCAGGGGAGCAAACGGG